UCUAAGUAUAAGCAAUUAUACAGCGAAACUGCGAAUGGCUCAUUAUAUAAGUUAUCGUUUAUUUGAUAAUACCUUACUACUUGGAUAACCGUGGUAAUUCUAGAGCUAAUACAUGCUAAAAAUCCCGACUUCGGAAGGGUUGUAUUUAUUAGAUUAAAAACCAAUGCCCCUCGGGGCUCUCUGGUGAAUCAUGAUAACUAGUCGAAUCGACAGGCCUUGUGCCGGCGAUGGCUCAUUCAAAUUUCUUCCCUAUCAACUUUCGAUGUUUGGGUAUUGGCCAAACAUGGUGGCAACGGGUAACGGAGGGUUAGGGCUCGACCCCGGAGAAGGAGCCUGAGAAACGGCUACUACAUCCAAGGAAGGCAGCAGGCGCGCAAAUUACCCAAUCCCGACACGGGGAGGUAGUGACAAUAAAUACUGAUACAGGGCUCUUUUGGGUCUUGUAAUCGGAAUGAGUACAAUUUAAAUCCCUUAACGAGGAACAAUUGGAGGGCAAGUCUGGUGCCAGCAGCCGCGGUAAUUCCAGCUCCAAUAGCGUAUAUUAAAGUUGUUGUGGUUAAAAAGCUCGUAGUUGAACCUUGGGCCUGGCUGGCCGGUCCGCCUCACCGCGUGCACUGGUCCGGCCGGGCCUUUCCCUCUGCGGAACCCCAUGCCCUUCACUGGGCGUGGCGGGGAAACAGGACUUUUACUUUGAAAAAAUUAGAGUGCUCAAGGCAGGCCUAUGCUCGAAUACAUUAGCAUGGAAUAAUGAAAUAGGACGUUGCGGUUCUAUUUUGUUGGUUUCUAGGACCGCCGUAAUGAUUAAUAGGGACAGUCGGGGGCAUCAGUAUUCAAUUGUCAGAGGUGAAAUUCUUGGAUUUAUUGAAGACUAACUACUGCGAAAGCAUUUGCCAAGGAUGUUUUCAUUAAUCAGGAACGAAAGUUAGGGGAUCGAAGACGAUCAGAUACCGUCGUAGUCUUAACCAUAAACUAUGCCGACUAGGGAUCGGACGAUGUUAUAUUUUUUGACGCGUUCGGCACCUUACGAGAAAUCAAAGUGCUUGGGCUCCAGGGGGAGUAUGGUCGCAAGGCUGAAACUUAAAGGAAUUG
rnacentral:rRNA from 2 species